GGCAGAGAUAAAGGGUCCACGGUCACGCA
rnacentral:piRNA from 1 species